rnacentral:rRNA from 1 species
AUUGAACGCUGGCGGCAUGCUUUACACAUGCAAGUCGAACGGCAGCGGGGUAGUGCUUGCACUACUGCCGGCGAGUGGCGAACGGGUGAGUAGUAUAUCGGAACGUACCGAGUAAUGGGGGAUAACCAAUCGAAAGAUUGGCUAAUACCGCAUACGUCCUGAGGGAGAAAGCGGGGGAUCGCAAGACCUCGCGUUAUUCGAGCGGCCGAUAACUGAUUAGCUAGUUGGUGGGGUAAAGGCCUACCAAGGCGACGAUCAGUAGCGGGUCUGAGAGGACGAUCCGCCACACUGGGACUGAGACACGGCCCAGACUCCUACGGGAGGCAGCAGUGGGGAAUUUUGGACAAUGGGGGCAACCCUGAUCCAGCCAUGCCGCGUGUAUGAAGAAGGCCUUCGGGUUGUAAAGUACUUUUGUUAGGGAAGAAAAGGGAAGUGCUAAUACCACUUUUUGCUGACGGUACCUAAAGAAUAAGCACCGGCUAACUACGUG